GGGUGCGAUUCAAAUCCUGGUCCCAUCAUUAAAGCUGUGUGAAUUUGGGAGGUGGUUUAGCCUUUUUGAACUUCAAUUUUCUCAUCUUCAAAAGGCAGUAAUACAUCCAACAUCAUAUAGUCACUUAUGAGGUUGAAAAGAGAUAAACAGAGAAAGAAUCGAUCACUCAUGAAGACUGGGUGUAGAGAAGAUGCUUCUGGCCGCACCUGAAUGAGGGCAAAGCCAGACGACAAGAUAACAAACAGCCCCAGUUUGUGCUGUGACUCAGCCCCCACCAGCUGGAUUGCAGCAACCCCAGCUCCUUGCCUGCCUC
ensembl:lncRNA